AAAAUAUGUUGUGAUGAAGAGUACACCCCUUCUAGAGAAGAAGAGAGAAGUCAAAUCUGGAAGGUGAACAAGAUAGCAAAUAGGAGAAACAUAUAAAUAGAUCCUUGACAAUGAAACCAUCACAAACAAUCAGCGAUGAUCUCCUCCUCCAUUAACAGCCACAUUAGCCAAAGCCUUUUUAUGGCGCCGACCCUUCUUUAGACCCCAGCCCUCCAAUUUAGCGAUAGGACAUCCACACCUCGCUCGGAAAAGCAAAACAGCCCUCCCAUUAGGUGGAGCCAUCUUCCGCAAUUCAGCUCGCAGACACUCAUAAUCAGGAUUCCCUUCACUCCCACCUUUCCAUGGCAACUUAUCGAUCUCCUUGGCCCCACUGGAUUUCACACAAUCCUCCGUCUGCAACUGCAAAUCGAACUCCAUCGCCUUCUUCAACCCCUUGCAUCCAGACUUCUCGCACUUGCGAGAUCUGGGCCCGCAGCAGAACUCAACAAAAAGGAUAGAAAGGAGGAACAGCGCCAAAAAACCGCAAAUGUAGGGUACGGGAGGGAUAUGGACGGAAAGAUGGGGGGAAGAGUGAGAGAGAAUAAUGGAAAGGGAGCGAAAGAUAUAGGAAAAGUAAGAAGUUAAGAGGAAAAUCCCAGAGAAAAGAACCAGAAUCAGAAUUAGAAUGUCGAGGGUGGCAGAUGGAGAGUGUUUACACAGAAGGGAAGAAGAAGAAGAAGA
rnacentral:misc_RNA from 1 species